GACGAACGCUGGCGGCGUGCCUAAUACGUGCAAGUAGAACGCUGAAGGAGGAGCUUGCUUCUCCGGAUGAGUUGCGAACGGGUGAGUAACGCGUAGGUAACCUGCCUGGUAGCGGGGGAUAACUAUUGGAAACGAUAGCUAAUACCGCAUAAGAGUAGAUGUUGCAUGACAUUUACUUAAAAGGUGCAAUUGCAUCACUACCAGAUGGACCUGCGUUGUAUUAGCUAGUUGGUGGGGUAACGGCUCACCAAGGCGACGAUACAUAGCCGACCUGAGAGGGUGAUCGGCCACACUGGGACUGAGACACGGCCCAGACUCCUACGGGAGGCAGCAGUAGGGAAUCUUCGGCAAUGGACGGAAGUCUGACCGAGCAACGCCGCGUGAGUGAAGAAGGUUUUCGGAUCGUAAAGCUCUGUUGUAAGAGAAGAACGAGUGUGAGAGUGGAAAGUUCACACUGUGACGGUAUCUUACCAGAAAGGGACGGCUAACUACGUGCCAGCAGCCGCGGUAAUACGUAGGUCCCGAGCGUUGUCCGGAUUUAUUGGGCGUAAAGCGAGCGCAGGCGGUUAGAUAAGUCUGAAGUUAAAGGCUGUGGCUUAACCAUAGUACGCUUUGGAAACUGUUUAACUUGAGUGCAAGAGGGGAGAGUGGAAUUCCAUGUGUAGCGGUGAAAUGCGUAGAUAUAUGGAGGAACACCGGUGGCGAAAGCGGCUCUCUGGCUUGUAACUGACGCUGAGGCUCGAAAGCGUGGGGAGCAAACAGG
rnacentral:rRNA from 1 species